GAUGAACGCUAGCGGGAGGCCUAACACAUGCAAGUCGAACGGGAUCCAUGAGCAAUCGUGGUGAGAGUGGCGCACGGGUGAGUAACGCGUAUGCAACCUACCUUUAACUGAGGGAUAGCCCAUAGAAAUGUGGAUUAAUACCUCAUAGUUCUGCGAAGCCGCAUGGUUUUGCAGAUAAAGCUCCGGCGGUUAAAGAUGGGCAUGCGUGACAUUAGUUAGUUGGUGAGGUAACGGCUCACCAAGACUACGAUGUCUAGGGGUUCUGAGAGGAUGAUCCCCCACACUGGUACUGAGACACGGACCAGACUCCUACGGGAGGCAGCAGUGAGGAAUAUUGGUCAAUGGGCGCAAGCCUGAACCAGCCAUCCCGCGUGCAGGAUGAAGGCCCUAUGGGUCGUAAACUGCUUUUAUACACCAAGAAAAAUCCCGACGUGUCGGGACCCGACGGUAGUGUAUGAAUAAGCAUCGGCUAACUCCGUGCCAGCAGCCGCGGUAAUACGGAGGAUGCAAGCGUUAUCCGGAUUCAUUGGGUUUAAAGCGUGCGUAGGCGGCUUUUUAAGUCAGUGGUGAAAUCUUGCCGCUUAACGGUAAAAUUGCCAUUGAUACUGAAGAGCUUGAGUACAGUUAGGUAAGCGGAAUGUGUAGUGUAGCGGUGAAAUGCUUAGAUAUUACACAGGACACCGAUUGCGAAGGCAGCUUACUAAGCUGUUACUGACGCUGAUGCACGAAAGCGUGGGGAGCGAACAGGAUUAGAUACCCUGGUAGUCCACGCCGUAAACGAUGAUCACUCGCUGUAUGCGAUACACAGUAUGCGGCCAAGCGAAAGCAUUAAGUGAUCCACCUGGGGAGUACGAUCGCAAGGUG
rnacentral:rRNA from 1 species